rnacentral:rRNA from 1 species
AAAACCAAUGCCCUUCGGGGCUUCCUGGUGAUUCAUGAUAACUUCUCGAAUCGCACGGCCUUGCGCCGGCGAUGGUUCAUUCAAAUUUCUGCCCUAUCAACUUUCGACGGCUGGGUCUUGGCCAGCCAUGGUGACAACGGGUAACGGAGGGUUAGGGCUCGACCCCGGAGAAGGAGCCUGAGAAACGGCUACUACAUCCAAGGAAGGCAGCAGGCGCGCAAAUUACCCAAUCCCGACACGGGGAGGUAGUGACAAUAAAUACUGAUACAGGGCUCUUUUGGGUCUUGUAAUUGGAAUGAGUACAAUUUAAAUCCCUUAACGAGGAACAAUUGGAGGGCAAGUCUGGUGCCAGCAGCCGCGGUAAUUCCAGCUCCAAUAGCGUAUAUUAAGUUGUUGCAGUUAAAAAGCUCGUAGUUGAACCUUGGGCCUGGCUGGCCGGUCCGCCUCACCGCGUGUACUGGUCCGGCCGGGCCUUUCCUUCUGGGGAGCCCCAUGCCCUUCACUGGCUGUGGCGGGGAACCAGGACUUUUAC